rnacentral:lncRNA from 1 species
AGGAGCAGGCCCAACCCACGUCGCCUCUGUCUUCAAUCUCUGCCAGUAGGCAGAGGGAGAGAGACGACACGGCGCCGGCUGUGCCACCUCCUGCUUCGCGCUGGAGGCGCCUCCUCCACCCUUAUCCCACGGCCUAGAAGAUGUGGACGAGGCUCUAGGUCAAUCUUCUCUGUCCCCUUCUCUCUCUCGUUUUCCACCUUGGAACCGAGUGCAUCGUCGCCGUUCGUCGUGGACCCGAGCACUUGGCGUUCCCCCAAGCAAGUCCGAGAGGUCCAUAGCCCCGAAGAGGAGUGUCAAGCCGUUGGGUUCAGGCUCCCACGCCCCAAGGCGAUGCAAUCGAGUCCAUCCUCGUCGCCGGUAGCCGAGGACCGCCGGCAUCGAUUUGACCGCUCCAGACCUCCCCCGACCAUGCAAUCGGCUCCAUUCGCCCCUCCGUGAGCCACUCAUCCUUUCCCCUAAUUUUGCCUGCUCGUUUGAGUACCCUAGCUGACAUAGCCACCGGAGCCGAGAGAUCCACGCCGCCGGCCAUGGCGACGCUGCAACCACAUUAGCCAAGGCUUGUGUCUGAGCACGACAUCGUGCUCAGAGAGCUCCCACGGUCCCGUAGAGCCCAUCGUCGAGCCUUUACAUGCCCUGCAGCCAUCACCUGCUCGAGGCGGUGCUCCGGCCGCCACGGACGCUGUCGCCGUCGUCGCUGCAGUGGAUCGCAACCCUUGACGCUUGCUGUGUUGGAUGUGCACGAGCGCGCGCUUCGCAUAGAACCUCUCCGCCGUUGUUUUGGUCGCCGGAGGGUGAUUCCGGGCCCCUCCUCCGUCUCGGGCCUCGUUGGUGUUGAGCCGCCGGUGAUUUGGCCUCGCUGAGCAGAGGUUGACCUCUCUGGGUCAGUGACAGGUGGGGCCAGUCCCUGACUCAAUUAGGCUGGUGAUUUCAUUAAGAUAAUUAACUCCGGUUAACUAAAUGAGUCACUUAUAUGUGGGGCCAAUCCCUGUUAACUUUUCAUUUAAUUAAAUUUUAAUUUUUAUUUAGCCCUCGGCCAUUGACCAGUGGGCUCCACUGGUCAGGUUCAACCGUGGACAACUCAGUUGAUGUGCUGACCUCACCCUCACAACAUGCUGGCGCAAUAAAUGAUUUAAUUAUUUUGAAAAAUGCUUAAAAUUUCUAAAAUUCAUAGAAAAUAAACUGUAACUCUAAUGAAAUUAAAUUAUAUAUGAAAAUGAUCACAAAAAUGCAAGGAACCUGUUUAUGCCAUGCUCAUGCAUGUUUGAACAAGCUAACAUCACUAAGUAAGGAAAGUGAUGGUUAGGACAAUUUGAUAAAUAUUAGUCGGAGUUGGAAUUUAAUUUAUAUUUGAAUUCCACUUCGCUUAAUAUGAUUAUCUAUUGCAAUAGGUCAAUUCAAUGCUUUAACAUGCCAUAUCAUACAUCAUGUUUGCUACAUUGCAUUGAAUGUGUUAUUCUCUUGUUUUUAGGUGUUGUUCCUUCUCGGUAAACGAUGGUUCCGACGAUGUGACUGUUGACAUUAAUGAAGAGAAGUACUAUUUUCAGAACUGUCAGGCAAUACACCCCCCUUGAGCAUACAAAUAUAAACCCACUCUCUCGCUCCUGCUCUCUUUUACUGCACUAGUACAACAACGAUUCAAUUGCUACAUGUUUUCGUAUUUGAACCCAUUCCUCUGCAUGACCUGUUUUUGCCAGUGUAAAUAGUUGAAACCACUUAGCAUGAGUAGAAACUUCUUGAGCCUUGUUGUGCUUACUCAUCCAUACUUGUUUACUGUGCCUACUAUGCUUAGAGUCAUGUCGGGUCUGAUCCAUCUGGAUGAUGAAUCAGAAUGGUUGUGUUCAUGCCCUACCGUGUAAGAGUUAAGUGUGUGAACAUGAUUUGGUAAAGGUAGCGAUGAGAGGCCAUGUAGGAGUACAUGGCGGGUUGUCUCAUUGGGACCGUCCUUAAGAACUGAGUUAUGUGUAUGUUAUUCAAGACAAGAUACUACUGCACAUUGGGAUCCUUAAUUGACUCUCUCAACUUAUUACUCGCCUUGAUCUUUGUCAAGGAGUUGCAAAUAGUUUCUGGUGUUUGUAGAAAAAGUGUUGGCGCUCGUGUUUAGCUCUGCCCGACGGGGUAGGCUUGAAUGCGGUAGAUACAAAGUGGCACGGUGUACCAAGUGGCACCCAGACGGUGGGCUUGUGGAACCCUGCACACAUCGUUUGAUGCCGUUAAGGAAACUUCGACCGGACUUCCUUGCAGGUUCAGUCUCAAAUAGGCGAUAAACUUGGUCUAGGGUCUUGCGUGGUUAAGGUCGUGGCCGACGCCAACGCCAGUGCUUCCGCUUGAAGGUUGCCGAGAUGCAUGACGUGCAUAUGGUGAUAAGUGGUGAGAGCGUGUGUGAAGAAGUAUACCCCUGCAAGGUGAAUUAAUCUGUUCUAAUAGACAUGCCCUUGGAUAUGGACUACUUGGAAACAUUAUGUGGUACAUAGACAACUUGGAAUGGAUACUCUAAAACACGCAAGAUAAGUGUGAGUGCUAUGGAUGGCCUUCUUGUAGGAAGACGGGAAUGGAUCUAUAGUGGUGUAUUGAUUUGGUGAAUAUGUGGACUCGUGUGCACUACCCCAAAUCAAAGAAAGUGUUCAUGGUCGUAGUAUAGUUUAGCCAAGAGUCAAUGCUGGCUUGCUGCAAUUAAACUCCACAACCCCCUUUGUUGACAAUGAUGCAUAUGUAGCUAGUUCUGAUGUAAGUCUUGCUGAGUGCCUUUGUACUCACGGUUGCUUAAUUUAUGUUUUUGCAGAGGAGACAUUAAUCUCAUUAAUGGAUCUACAUGAUGUGUACGGUGUUGACCGGAUUAGCUUGGGAAUCCCAGACAGAGGUGUGGCUCCUAUGAUAGGGUCGUUGUAGCUUUUUAGGCUCUUUCAGCCAUUUUUAAUAGAUUUCUGUACCCAGACAUGUUGUGCUUCCGCUUGAUGCUUGUAUGACUUGAGUGUUGGAUCAUGUGACCCCUGUUUGUAAUAUCACACUACGUUGGCUCUUAUGAGUCUUUAAUAAAUGCUUGAUUCGUAGAGUUGUGUUGUGAUGCCAUGUUGUAUCUACACAUAUCGUACAUAUUGUGUGUAUGUUUUGAAAUGCAUUGUAUGUGUGGGAUUCAACACCU